rnacentral:lncRNA from 1 species
AUAAGUUUCCUCUGGGGAACAGAUGGUGAUGUUUCAACAGGUACCAGGGAUUCCCGGCUUUCUGAUGGUAAAUGACUCAGUGUGUUUGCUCGCCUUCGAAAGCUUUGUUGAGGUAAUGUAACAGAAUGAUCAAUAGCAUAACUAUCUGGGUCACUGGAAAGAUCACCCAUUGAUCCACUGCUCUUGACAGCAUUCUCUGGAGGAAGUGUAGGAACUCUGUCUGUCUCCCUUUCAGACAGUGGUUGCUCUUUAUUUGUGCUGCUUAAGUUACUGGACACAGAGGCCUCCAGGUCCACAGAUCCACUAGAACUGUCCAGAGGACCUCUGGCUUUACUGCCACGUGAUAAAAUACUUUCAAACGAUUCCGUCAGAGAUCUUUUUGCCUUGUUCUUUAACAUAUCUAAUCUGAAUCUUGGAGCACUGCUGGGCACUUCAUUUACAGCAUUCUCAGCAGACGGUUGUGAAGUUUGUUUUGCUUCCCCAAUGUGAACAUGGUUCUUCUGUUUUUCUUCAUACAUGUUUCUCAAAAUAGAGAUAAUCAGCUCAUUCUCUUUUUGAUCAUUUCUUGGUCUCAAUUUCUUAACCUCUUCAAAAAC